rnacentral:lncRNA from 1 species
ACAGCCAGGCCCAUCACACCACCUGAGCUCCUGGGCUACAUCGUUUGUUACCACGUCACUGUGGCACGAAAUUCUAUGAAGACAGACGUGCUUAUCUUCUACCAAGCACCCGGAAGGCUGUGACCCCAAGGCUUGAGCAGCGCCAAGCUUGAAGCAGGUGUUAGAGAUUCAUAGGGACUGAUUCCGGGAGCCUUGAGGGACUGGAGAGAGAUGCUGGUAUAGAUCACGGGUACCGGAUGCAGCAGAGCCAUGCUCGUGCUGGCACGGACAGUGGAAGAAAACACAGAAGAACUAGCCGUUUUCAACGGAGGAAAUGAUGGAGCAGACACGUGCGUGCGCAUCUUCAAGAAUCUCUUCUUGUUCUGCAAUGAAGAAAUGAUCCAGGUCCUGCCUUCCCUCCAUGAUGGACUGUAAGCUGUGCACUGGAUUAAAGCCCUUCCUCCCCAUGUUGCUUUUGGUCAUCGCAUUUCUCAUGGCAACAGAAACCUAAGUAGAACAUAAUGCCCUAUCUGGGAAAGUAGACAUUUGUUCAUGGCUGAG